CCUCGGGGAAGACUCGCCGCUCCCUCCAUCUAGGGCUGGCCUCAACUCCCAUUUUUACAAGCCCUCCGA